UUUAACCAUAUAAACAAAUUUUUAUUUUUGACUGGGGUAGUCUUUUUAUUUAAAUUUAAAAUUUAAUAAUAAACAUAAUCUAUUGGUAACCCGGUCCCUUACAUAAGGAUAAAUAGAAAAAGUUACUUUAGGGAUAACAGCGUAAUAAUCGUAGUGAGACCUUAUCUAAACGAUUGAUUGCGACCUCGAUGUUGAAUUAAAAAAUCUUUUUGGAGCAACCCCCUUAAAAGAAGGUUUGUUCAACCUUUAAAUUUUUACAUGAUCUG
rnacentral:rRNA from 1 species